GAGUUACAGUAAUCCAUCCUGGAAGUGACAAACAUAUGAUACCAUGUGGCUUGAUCCUGUGGGAAGAAGGGUGGAAUUUCCUAUGGGUGCAGAUGCAUAAAGAAAAAGGACAUUUUUUAAGACUGAACACCCUUCCUGGCUGUCCCAGAGAUCAAGGGAAGAGGAAGCAAAGUGACUCACAACAAGCAGAAGCACUGGAAGAAAACCAAGAUUUCUUUUCCAUCCAGUUAACAUUCAGUGCUGUAGGCUGCAUGACAUCUUUGAGCUAACGUUACUCAUUUCUUAAGAAACCAGAAGGAAAAAGUGAUGGGAAGCAAGAAGAAAGAAUGGCUAAAAUAAAUAAGUUGAGCUGACACUGUAUCUGCUUUCA
rnacentral:lncRNA from 1 species